GAGACCCACGCCCUCAGUUGCCAGCAGAUCCGAAAGGAUGCUGGGGACUCUGAGGGGACCGCCAUCGAUAAGAUGGAGGAAGGAGUGGGCGACGGUAGGUCAGUAUGCCCCAAAUCUCCUGGGCUACACGCGUGCUACAAUGGUCGGGACAAUGGGCUGCGACUCCGAGAGGAGAAGCCAAUCCCCUAAACCCGAUCUCAGUCCGGAUUGAGGGCUGUAACUCGCCCUCAUGAAGAUGGAAUCCCCAGUAACCGCGUGUCAUCAUCGCGCGGUGAACAU
rnacentral:rRNA from 1 species